rnacentral:rRNA from 1 species
UUGUUCGGAGAGUUUGAUCCUGGCUCAGGACGAACGCUGGCGGCGUGCUUAACACAUGCAAGUCGAACGCUGAAGCCUGGCUUUUGUUGGGUGGAUGAGUGGCGAACGGGUGAGUAACACGUGAGU